rnacentral:lncRNA from 1 species
UACUGAUUCAAAGAUAAGAAAUUAAAGCUUAUUUCGGAUGAAUUAUACAUACGUCUUUGCUGGUGCAACCCCAACGAAGAUGGUGGCAGUUGUGGUGGUCUCUAUAUCAAGGUGCAUCCCGCAUCUGCACUCAAACAUUUCAGUAAUUUUGAAAGAAAAUAAAAGAAAGAAAUUUGUGUGCAUGUUUCAUACAUAACUAUGCUUUUAACUGAAUAAUAAUAUUUUUAAUAUUAAAAAAGAAAAAACUAGAUAAUUGCUUCCCCAACUCAGAUCGUGAGAUUAAUGCUCAAUUUACUGUCCCAAAGGGCUAGGGGCACUAGGCUGUCUUGUUGCACUCGCUAUAAGCCCAAUCAAAAACUAUAACUUAUUGUUAUUGUUGAUAGAGUUGAGAAUUUAUAUGCCCCCAAAAAAAUGAGAACUUGUACAUAUUUCUACAUGUUUGGAUGUGCGACUGAGAUAUGUAAUAAGAAGUUUUACCCUCCACCGUUGCCACACUUGCAGUUAGAACCACAGCUACAAUUUGAUCCGCAGCUAGACAUUUUUCUUCAAAGUAAAAAUUAAGAGAAUAUGGAUGAUGAAUGAAUUAAGGUUAUUCUAGAUAUUGUACUCAACCUUCUACUACUUAUAAUACAAUACAGAGGAGAGACAAUGCUUACCCAAUGUACACAUGUAUUAAUAUAAUUAGCCGGCAGUUACCAACUGCUAAAGAUUAUUGUAUCUUACAUCGCCAAUUAGACUUUGCAAUGCAACAGUAAAGUUGUCUGCCUGGAUACAACUAANNNNN